AAAGUAGCUUACCAUUAAAGCACCCGACUUACAAACGGAAGACGUCCUCUAUACCUUUUUGA
rnacentral:tRNA from 1 species